AGUGAACGCUGGCGGUAGGCCUAACACAUGCAAGUCGAACGGCAGCACAGUAAGAGCUUGCUCUUACGGGUGGCGAGUGGCGGACGGGUGAGGAAUACAUCGGAAUCUACUUUUUCGUGGGGGAUAACGUAGGGAAACUUACGCUAAUACCGCAUACGACCUACGGGUGAAAGCAGGGGAUCUUCGGACCUUGCGCGAUUGAAUGAGCCGAUGUCGGAUUAGCUAGUUGGCGGGGUAAAGGUCCACCAAGGCGACGAUCCGUAGCUGGUCUGAGAGGAUGAUCAGCCACACUGGAACUGGGCCACGGUCCAGACUCCUACGAGAGGCAGCAGUGGGGAAUAUUGGACAAUGGGCGCAAGCCUGAUCCAGCCAUACCGCGUGGGUGAAGAAGGCCUUCGGGUUGUAAAGCCCUUUUGUUGGGAAAGAAAAGCAGCAGGUUAAUACCCCGCUGUUCUGACGGUACCCAAAGAAUAAGCACCGGCUAACUUCGUG
rnacentral:rRNA from 1 species